rnacentral:pre_miRNA from 7 species
UGCUGCUAACUGCUGCAGUGGCAGCUUGGUUGUCAUAUGUGUGAUGACACUUUCUAAAGUCUUCCAGAAUGACACCACAUAUAUGGCAGCUAAACUGUUACAUGGAACAACAAGUAAGAU